CUUAUGGAACAGGUAAAGCAAAGGCAAUAAGCAAAACAAGCUUCCCCACAAUAUCCAGUCAGUGUGCCACAGCUCUAAUUUGGCAGAACUGUUUCUAGGAG
rnacentral:sRNA from 1 species